CACGUAGGCACCAAGCGUUGUCCGGAUUUAUUGGGCGUAAAGAGCUCGUAGGCGGUUCGGUAAGUCGGGUGUGAAACCUUGGGCUCAACCCAAGGACUGCAUCCGAUACUGCUGUGACUUGAGUCCGGUAGGGGAGUGGGGAAUUCCUGGUGUAGCGGUGGAAUGCGCAGAUAUCAGGAGGAACACCAGUGGCGAAGGCGCCGCUCUGGACCAUGACUGACGCUGAGGAGCGAAAGCCAGGGGAGCAAACGGG
rnacentral:rRNA from 1 species